AACAAACGCUGGCGGCGUGCCUAAUACAUGCAAGUCGAACGGGGAAAGCUUUCGGGUGAGUACUAGUGGCGCACGGGUGAGGAACGCGUGGAUAAUCUGCCUUAGAGUGGGGGAUAACUAGUCGAAAGAUUAGCUAAUACCGCAUAAGACCACAGGAGCUGCGGCUCAAGGGGUCAAAGGUUUUUCGCUCUAAGAUGAGUCCGCGUAAGAUUAGCUAGUUGGUGAGGUAACGACUCACCAAGGCGACGAUCUGUAACUGGUCUGAGAGGAUGAUCAGUCACACUGGAACUGAGACACGGUCCAGACUCCUACGGGAGGCAGCAGUAGGGAAUAUUGCACAAUGGAGGAAACUCUGAUGCAGCGACGCCGCGUGAGUGAUGAAGGCCUUCGGGUCGUAAAGCUCUGUCGCAGGGGAAUAACACAAUGAAUGUACCCUGUAAGAAAGGAUCGGCUAACUUCGUGCCAGCCGCCGCCGUAAAAC
rnacentral:rRNA from 1 species